rnacentral:rRNA from 1 species
GAUAAACGCUGGCGGCGUGCAUUAUGCAUGCAAGUCGAACGGUGCCGCAAGGCACAGUGGCAAACGGGUGAGUAACGCGUAAGUAACCUGCCUCUGAGUGUGGAAUAACUUCAGGAAACUGAGGCUAAUACCUCAUAUGGUUUGCCCUCGAUGGAGGGUUCUCCAAAGCCGCAAGGCGCUCGGAGGGGGGCUUGCGUCCGAUUAGCUAGGUGGUGGGGUAAUGGCCUACCAAGGCUGUGAUCGGUAGCUGGUCUGAGAGGGCGAUCAGCCACACUGGGACUGGGACACGGCCCAGACUCCUACGGGAGGCAGCAGCAAGGAAUUUUGCGCAAUGGGCGAAAGCCUGACGCAGCAACGCCGCGUGAGGGAUGAAGGCCUUCGGGUUGUAAACCUCUUUUCUCAGGGACGAAUAAUGACGGUACCUGGGGAAUAAGCUUCGGCUAACUACGUGCCAGCCGCCGCGGUAA